GCCCCCGUAGCCCAACCGGCAGAGGCAGUCGGCUUAAAACCGAUCGAGUGCGGGUUCGAGCCCCGCCGGGGGCACCG
rnacentral:tRNA from 1 species